rnacentral:misc_RNA from 1 species
GUAAAUAUCUAUUAGGUGAAGAGAUAUUUUAUGUCAUACUAACAACUACUAUUUUCAAUAUACUUUUUAAGUAAACUAACGAAGGUUGUAAUAUCGACCGCACCGAUCAAUCUCCUUCGUGUAUUCUCCAUUCUACGUGACAUUGGCGAAAUCAUCUGUGCUCAUUUGGCACUAUUGAAAGCCAUUAAUUAAGAAGAAGAAGAAGAAGAGUUGGUAAGAUC